GAACGCUAGCUACAGGCUUAACACAUGCAAGUCGAGGGGCAUCAGUUUGGUUUGCUUGCAAACCAAAGCUGGCGACCGGCGCACGGGUGAGUAACACGUAUCCAACCUGCCUCAUACUCGGGGAUAGCCUUUCGAAAGAAAGAUUAAUAUCCGAUAGCAUAUAUUUCCCGCAUGGGUUUUAUAUUAAAGAAAUUCGGUAUGAGAUGGGGAUGCGUUCCAUUAGUUUGUUGGCGGGGUAACGGCCCACCAAGACUACGAUGGAUAGGGGUUCUGAGAGGAAGGUCCCCCACAUUGGAACUGAGACACGGUCCAAACUCCUACGGGAGGCAGCAGUGAGGAAUAUUGGUCAAUGGACGCGAGUCUGAACCAGCCAAGUAGCGUGAAGGAUGACUGCCCUAUGGGUUGUAAACUUCUUUUAUAUGGGAAUAAAGUGGUCCACGUGUGGAUUUUUGUAUGUACCAUAUGAAUAAGGAUCGGCUAACUCCGUGCCGGCAGCCGCGGUAAUACGGAGGAUCCGAGCGUUAUCCGGAUUUAUUGGGUUUAAAGGGAGCGUAGGCGGAUUGUUAAGUCAGUUGUGAAAGUUUGCGGCUCAACCGUAAAAUUGCAGUUGAUACUGGCAGUCUUGAGUGCAGUAGAGGUGGGCGGAAUUCGUGGUGUAGCGGUGAAAUGCUUAGAUAUCACGAAGAACUCCGAUUGCGAAGGCAGC
rnacentral:rRNA from 1 species